GUAGAGGGUUAGAGGGAGGUAGAGGGUUAGAGGGAGGUAGAGGGUUAGGGGGAGGUAGAGUGUUAGGUAGAGGGUUAGGAGGAGGUAGAGGGUUAGGAGGAGGGUUAGGGGGAGGUAGAGAGUAAGGGGGAGGUAGAGGGUUAGAGGGAGGUAGAGAGUAAGGAGGAGGUAGAGGUAUUAGGCAGAGGUAGAUAGAGGGAGGUAGAGGGUUAGAGGGAGGUAGAGAGUAAGGGGGAGGUGUAGGGUUAGGGGAGGUAGAGUGUUAGGUAGAGGGUUAGGAGGAGGUAGAGGGUUAGGAGGAGGGGUUAGGGGAGGUAGAGGAUUAGAGGGAGGUAGAGGGAUUAGGCAGAGGUAGAUGGUUAGAGGGAGGUAGAGGGAUUAGAGGGAGGUAG
ensembl:lncRNA